rnacentral:rRNA from 1 species
UACGUAGGGUGCAAGCGUUGUCCGGAAUUAUUGGGCGUAAAGAGCCUCGUAGCGGUUUGUUGCGUCGGCUGUGAAAUCCCGAGGCUCAACCUCGGGUCUGCAGUCGAUACGGGCAAACUAGAGUGCGGUAGGGGAGACUGGAAUUCCUGGUGUAGCGGUGAAAUGCGCAGAUAUCAGGAGGAACACCGGCGGCGAAGGCGGGUCUCUGGGCCGUAACUGACGCUGAGGAGCGAAAGCGUGGGGAGCGAACAGG